rnacentral:rRNA from 1 species
GACAGAGGAUGCAAGCGUUAUCCGGAAUGAUUGGGCGUAAAGCGUCUGUAGGUGGCUUUUUAAGUCUGCCGUCAAAUCCCAGGGCUUAACCCUGGACAGGCGGUGGAAACUACCAAGCUGGAGUACGGUAGGGGCAGGGGGAAUUCCCGGUGUAGCGGUGGAAUGCGUAGAGAUCGGGAAGAACACCAGUGGCGAAGGCGGUCUGCUGGGCCGUUGCUGACGCUGAGGCGCGACAGCGUGGGGAGCAAACAGG